UGGACAGUAGUGGGGGUUUUGUUGACUGUAGAUCUCGGGGUUUGUCAGGUGUGUUGAUUCAGUGUUUUGAUUACAGUUUUUUAAAGUCACUUAAAGGAGAGGGAUGUUUUUAUGAGUGUUUAUAAGGCUAAUAAAUCUCGCUAAGUUGUUGUGCCGGCUCCAUAAAAGACGCCUGAAUAUACACAGGAAUCUGAAAAAUUGUUUUCAUUCCUUAUGCUUCAGGAAUGAAAGAAUAUCAGCUUUAAUUUUACUCUGAAGAGUGAAAAGAAAUAGGAGCCCACAGGCUACUGACCUGAGAGGUGACGAUCAGUGGGCACCCUCGUUGCAUAGUGUGAGCCUGUGGUCACUGACUUGCUGUAGAGGAGCUCCAGUCUUAGCAAAGACCUUGGCAUGUUGGAGUGUGUUAAAUUUCCUUCCACAGAAGGGGAGAGAAAAAAAUCUUAUCUUUGACCAGAUGAAAGGUUGUGAGACCUUUUUCUACUCCAUGUAAUAAAAAGAGCUGUUUACAAUUCUGAGAGCACUGUGUGUAAUGUCACAUUAAGUACUGCAUUUAGAAAAUGUGCCAAGGUAUUUUAGCAAUUAAAUCUCCUGGUAGGAAAACAAAACUCAGCCAACCAUCCCC
rnacentral:lncRNA from 1 species